GGGAAACAGAGACAUUCAACUUUCGGGCUCACAAGAGAGGCGACCUAAAGAGUGGGUUAUUGGAUGUCUUCUGGCAGGUGCUACAGGAUUAAGAAGGUAGCUGGUCAGAAACAAACUUUGAAUUAGGGGGAUUUUUUAAAAAAUAGUUGACUAAAGUAAAUAUGAUCGUUAGCUUAAUCCUCCAUAUCUAACGUGAGAUUCAAAUUUAAUAGGCAAGUUUAAAAAUCGGCUGGCAUGUGCAUCUAUUAUUUGUGUAUGUGUCUGGAUGCCUUGCUCCAAGAGUACAGGUUAGUUGUCCGUGAUGAAAUUUCCAAGACCUUCCUGUUUAUCAGGCCCAGCAGUCCAAAA
rnacentral:lncRNA from 1 species